CCGCCCGUCGCUCCUACCGAUUGAAUGAUCCGGUGAAGUGUUCGGAUCGCGGCGACGUGGGUGGUUCGCCGUCUGCGACGUCGCGAGAAGUCCACUAAACCUUAUCAUUUAGAGGAAGGAGAAGUCGUAACAAGGUUUCCGUAGGUGAACCUGCGGAAGGAUCAUUGUCGUAUCCUGGAAACAGAACGACCCGAGAACGUUGAAACAUCACUCUCGGCGGGCUGGUCUCUUAGCCGAUUCCAUGCCUGCCGAUUCCGUGGUUGUGUGUUCCGUCCCCGAUCAAGACUUCAGUCUCGGUUGGUUCGUGCACAUAGCUUUCGGAUAUAACCAAACCCCGGCACGAAAAGUGUCAAGGAACAUACAACUAAACAGUCUGCUUUCGCCAACCCGGAAACGGUGAUUGUUCGGAAGCAGUGCUGCAAUGUAAAGUCUAAAACGACUCUCGGCAACGGAUAUCUCGGCUCUCGCAUCGAUGAAGAACGUAGCGAAAUGCGAUACUUGGUGUGAAUUGCAGAAUCCCGUGAACCAUCGAGUCUUUGAACGCAAGUUGCGCCCCAAGCCUUCUGGCCGAGGGCACGUCUGCCUGGGUGUCACAAAUCGUCGUCCCCCCAUCCUCUCGAGGAUAUCGGACGGAAGCUGGUCUCCCGUGUGUUACCGCAUGCGGUUGGCCAAAAUCUGAGCUAAGGAUGCCAGGAGCGUCUCGACAUGCGGUGGUGAAUCCAAUCUCCUCGUCAUAUAGUCGGUCGUUCCGGUCCAAACGCUCUUGAUGACCC
rnacentral:rRNA from 1 species